UACGUAGGGGGCAAGCGUUGUCCGGAUUUAUUGGGCGUAAAGAGCGUGUAGGCGGUCUGGUAGGUCCGUUGUGAAAACUCGAGGCUCAACCUCGAGACGCCGAUGGAAACCAUCAGACUAGAGUCCGGAAGAGGAGAGUGGAAUUCCUGGUGUAGCGGUGAAAUGCGCAGAUAUCAGGAAGAACACCCGUGGCUAAGGCGGGUCUCUGGGCCGUUACUGACGCUGAGGAGCGAAAGCGUGGGGAGCGAACAGG
rnacentral:rRNA from 1 species